AACGAACGCUGGCGGCAUGCCUAACACAUGCAAGUCGAACGAGACCUUCGGGUCUAGUGGCGCACGGGUGCGUAACGCGUGGGAACCUGCCCUUAGGUUCGGAAUAACUCCCCGAAAGGGGUGCUAAUACCGGAUAAUGUCUUCGGACCAAAGAUUUAUCGCCUUUGGAUGGGCCCGCGUUGGAUUAGCUAGUUGGUAGGGUAAAAGCCUACCAAGGCGACGAUCCAUAGCUGGUCUGAGAGGAUGAUCAGCCACACUGGGACUGAGACACGGCCCAGACUCCGACGGGAGGCAGCAGUGGGGAAUAUUGGACAAUGGGCGAAAGCCUGAUCCAGCAAUGCCGCGUGAGUGAUGAAGGCCUUAGGGUUGUAAAGCUCUUUUACCCGGGAUGAUAAUGACAGUACCGGGAGAAUAAGCUCCGGCUAACUCCGG
rnacentral:rRNA from 1 species